rfam:Triticum aestivum genome assembly, contig: Triticum_aestivum_CS42_TGACv1_scaffold_034301_1BL
AUAGUACUCCCUCCGCUCCGAAUUACUUGUCUUGGAUUUGUCUAGAUACAGAUUUAUCUAGACUCAGAUUUAUCUAGACUAUCUAGACAAAUCCAAGACAAGUAAUUUGGAACGGAGGGAGUAUAUA